AACGAACGCUGGCGGCGCGCCUAAUACAUGCAAGUCGAGCGAGAAGACGUAGCAAUACGUUUGUAAAGCGGCGAACGGGUGAGGAAUACAUGGGUAACCUACCCUCGAGUGGGGAAUAACUAGCCGAAAGGUUAGCUAAUACCGCGUACGCUCCUUGGACUUCGGUUCAGGGAGGAAAGCGAUACCGUGGGUAUCGCGCUCUUGGAUGGGCUCAUGUCCUAUCAGCUUGUUGGUGAGGAACGGCUCACCAAGGCUUCGACGGGUAGCUGGUCUGAGAGGACGAUCAGCCACACUGGCACUGCGACACGGGCCAGACUCCUACGGGAGGCAGCAGUAAGGAAUAUUGCGCAAUGGGCGAAAGCCUGACGCAGCGACCGCCGCGUGGGGGAUGAAGGUCUUCGGAUUGUAAACCCC
rnacentral:rRNA from 1 species